rnacentral:rRNA from 1 species
UACGUAGGGUGCAAGCGUUGUCCGGAAUUAUUGGGCGUAAAGAGCUCGUAGGUGGCCUGUCGCGUCGGCUGUGGAAACUCGGGGCUCAACUCCGAGCUUGCAGUCGAUACGGGCAGGCUAGAGUUCGGCAGGGGAGACUGGAAUUCCUGGUGUAGCGGUGAAAUGCGCAGAUAUCAGGAGGAACACCGAUGGCGAAGGCAGGUCUCUGGGCAUUAACUGACGCUGAGGAGCGAAAGCAUGGGGAGCGAACAGG